rnacentral:rRNA from 1 species
GGUGGUUUCAUUUAAGUGAGGAUGUGAAAAGCCCGGGGGGUUUAACCUUGGGACCUGCAUUUUGCAAAUGGUGAACCUAGAAUGCCUUAAAACGGGGGUAGAAUUUUCAGGUGUAGCGGUGAAAUGCGUAGAGAUCUGAACGGAUUUCCAGUGGCGAAGGUUGGCCCCCUGGACAGACACUGACACUCAGGUGCGAAAGCUUGGGGAGCAAACAGGUUUAGAUACCCUGGUAGUUCACGCCGUAAACCGAAGUCUACUUGGAGGUUGUGGCCUUGAGCCGUGGCUUUUGGAGCUAACGCGUUAAGUAGACCGCCUGGGGAGUACGGUUGCAAGAUUAAAACUCAACUGAAUUGACGGGGGCCCGCACAAGCGGUGGAGCAUGUGGUUUAAUUCGAUGCAACGCGAAGAACCUUACCUACUCUUGACAUCCAGAGAAGCCAGCGGAGAUGCAGGUGUGCCUUCGGGAGCUCUGAGACAGGUGCUGCAUGGCGGUCGUCAGCUCGUGUUGUGAAAUGUUGGGUUAAGUCCCGCAACGAGCGCAACCCUUAUCCUUGUUUGCCAGCGAGUAAUGUCGGGAACUCCAGGGAGACUUCCGGUGAUAAUCCGGAGGAAGGUGGGGACGACGUCAAGUCAUCAUGGCCCUUACGAGUAGGGCUACACACGUGCUACAAUGGCGCAUACAGAGGGCAGCAAGCUAGCGAUAGUGAGCGAAUCCCAAAAAAUGCGUCGUAGUCCGGAUUGGAGUCUGCAACUCGACUCCAUGAAGUCGGAAUCGCUUGUAAUCGUGAAUCAGAAUGUCACGGUGAAUACGUUUCCGGGCCUUGUACACACCGCCCGUCACACCAUGGGAGUGGGCUGCAAAAGAAGUGGGUAGUUUAACCUUUCGGGGAGGACGCUCACCACUUUGUGGUUCAUGACUGGGGUGA